rnacentral:rRNA from 1 species
AUUGAACGCUGGCGGCAUGCUUUACACAUGCAAGUCGGACGGCAGCGGGGGCUUCGGCCUGCCGGCGAGUGGCGAACGGGUGAGUAAUGCAUCGGAACGUGCCCAUGUCGUGGGGGAUAACUACGCGAAAGCGUGGCUAAUACCGCAUACGCCCUGAGGGGGAAAGCGGGGGAUCUUUCGGGACCUCGCGCGAUUGGAGCGGCCGAUGUCGGAUUAGCUAGUUGGUGGGGUAAAGGCUCACCAAGGCGACGGUCCGUAGCUGGUCUGAGAGGAUGAUCAGCCACACUGGGACUGAGACACGGCCCAGACUCCUACGGGAGGCAGCAGUGGGGAAUUUUGGACAAUGGGCGCAAGCCUGAUCCAGCCAUACCGCGUGAGUGAAGAAGGCCUUCGGGUUGUAAAGCUCUUUCGGCCGGGAAGAAAUCGCAUUCUCUAAUAUAGGAUGUGGAUGACGGUACCGGACUAAGAAGCACCGGCUAACUACGUGCCAGCCGCCGCCGUAA